rnacentral:rRNA from 1 species
GACGAACGCUGGCGGCGUGCUUAACACAUGCAAGUCGAACGGAAAGGCCCUGCUUUUGUGGGGUGCUCGAGUGGCGAACGGGUGAGUAACCCGUGAGUAACCUGCCCUUGACUUUGGGAUAACUUCAGGAAACUGGGGCUAAUACCGGAUAGGUGCCCCUGCUGCAUGGUGGGGGUCGGAAAGUUUCGGCGGUUGGGGAUGGACUCGCGGCUUAUCAGCUUGUUGGUGGGGUAGUGGCUUACCAAGGCUUUGACGGGUAGCCGGCCUGAGAGGGUGACCGGCGACAUGGGGACUGAGAGACGGCCCAGACUCCUACGGGAGGCAGCGGGGGGAAAUAUUGCACAAUGGGCGGAAGCCUGAGGCAGCAGCGCCGCGUGCGGGAUGACGGCCUUCGGGUUGUAAACCGCUUUCGCCUGUGACGAAGCGUGAGUGACGGUAAUGGGUAAAGAAGCACCGGCUAACUACGUG